ACGGGUGAGUAACACGUGGGUAACCUGCCUGUAAGACUGGGAUAACUCCGGGAAACCGGAGCUAAUACCGGAUAGUUCCUUGAACCGCAUGGUUCAAGGAUGAAAGACGGUUUCGGCUGUCACUUACAGAUGGACCCGCGGCGCAUUAGCUAGUUGGUGGGGUAAUGGCUCACCAAGGCGACGAUGCGUAGCCGACCUGAGAGGGUGAUCGGCCACACUGGGACUGAGACACGGCCCAGACUCCUACGGGAGGCAGCAGUAGGGAAUCUUCCGCAAUGGACGAAAGUCUGACGGAGCAACGCCGCGUGAGUGAUGAAGGUUUUCGGAUCGUAAAGCUCUGUUGUUAGGGAAGAACAAGUGCGAGAGUAACUGCUCGCACCUUGACGGUACCUAACCAGAAAGCCACGGCUAACUACGUGCCAGCAGCCGCGGUAAUACGUAGGUGGCAAGCGUUGUCCGGAAUUAUUGGGCGUAAAGGGCUCGCAGGCGGUUUCUUAAGUCUGAUGUGAAAGCCCCCGGCUCAACCGGGGAGGGUCAUUGGAAACUGGGAAACUUGAGUGCAGAAGAGGAGAGUGGAAUUCCACGUGUAGCGGUGAAAUGCGUAGAGAUGUGGAGGAACACCAGUGGCGAAGGCGACUCUCUGGUCUGUAACUGACGCUGAGGAGCGAAAGCGUGGGGAGCGAACAGGAUUAGAUACCCUGGUAGUCCACGCCGUAAACGAUGAGUGCUAAGUG
rnacentral:rRNA from 1 species